rnacentral:rRNA from 1 species
UACGUAGGGGGGCAAGCGUUGUCCGGAUUUAUUGGGCGUAAAGAGCGUGUAGGCGGCCAGGUAGGUCUGCUGUGAAAACUCGAGGCUUAACCUCGAGCUGUCGGCGGAAACCAUCUGGCUAGAGUCCGGAAGAGGAGAAUGGAAUUCCCGGUGUAGCGGUGAAAUGCGCAGAUAUCAGGAAGAACACCCGUGGCGAAGGCGGUUCUCUGGGACGGUACUGACGCUGGAGACGCGAAAGCGUGGGGAGCGAACAGG